rnacentral:lncRNA from 1 species
GACAGCAUCUGUGCAUUGAGUAUCUGCCCUGUGCCUGGCCGGGAGCCACUGCCUUAAAGGGAGAACGUGAGCCCGGCGGACUUGCAAAGAAGGAAGGAGUUGUACUCAGCACGCAGCGAUGUGUGCAAGACUGCUGAGUGUUAGACAGUCCUGGUGCCAGCUCUCAUCUGAAGGUGAUUUCUGUUGCUUUAAUGUGUCCGAGUUCAGCUACAUUGUUCAUGAACUGAACUAGCUGUUCAUGAGAGCAGCAUACAGGGGCUCCUGUCGGCAGAGCUCAGAUGUUCUCCCCCCAUUUUCACCUUCCACAACACAAAAUGUUGUUGAAACCGUGGUCUCUCCCCAGGGAGUUUUGUUGUCAUUGAGGCUGAAGCAAUGAAACAGAUCCCUGCAAAGACAGCCAGAUGCCUCUUCUAGACGAUGGGGGUGAGUGUAGACCAGAAGGCAGGUAGGCAGCAGGGGGAAGGGCGGGGGGGCCCAGACCCACCCUGUGUGCCAUCUGACUUUGAGGCAGGCUGUAAUGGAGCCGUCUUAGGAGCAAUGGCGGGCUGUCAACGUGCCCUCCUGGGCCAGAGCCAGGCUGCUGUGACGUGGCCCAGGACCAAGCUUUUGGGAUGAGCUGGGCAGAGAGAUGGGUAGGGACUUAGUGCCAAAAUAGCAAUCCCAGAAAGCCUUGGGGCCUUUCACUCUUUGGGAGUGAUUUUUGCUGAAGAAGUUACAGUAGAAAUUCAGCAGAUCCAAGACCUCGAAAGUCCCCCAGAGGUUACUAAGUGCAGCCCCUUCCCCUAAGCAGGUCUUGCCUACAACCAUUCCAGAGCAAUGGUGUUUCAUUUGAAAUAUUUCUCAGGAAGGAUAUUUCAUAAACUCCCUAAUGCACUGGUACCAAAACAAAGCUGAGCAGAAAAAGAACAACAUAUUCUCUGGAGUGUAGCCAAACGCACUCCAAGAUGGAUACAGAUAUUUCAAAAGCAGUCAGUCAGUCAGCACACGUGCCAAUGUGCCUCUCUUCUGUGCCCUGUGGCGACAUGCCUUCCCAAUUAAAUUACCUUGAUAUGGCUCCGUGCUCCUGCUGGACUCUGAUUCAUUCUGAUGGGAACAACAUAUUCAGUUCAAAGAAAAGAGGUGGGCAGAAGUCUUUGCUCCUGAUAACAUCAGGACCUACUUUAGCCUCCUUGAUGUUCAGAUGAGCUGGAGAAAUUGGAAUUUAAUCGUCGAUUACUCCCAGUCCAAAGUCAGCUUGCAUUUUUAAGCUCAUUCAGGUACAAGUGAGUACCAAAAAUCAAUAUGUUCUGGAAACAGAAGGCUUAGAACAUCUUCCAUGCAUGGCUACAGAAGAAUCUGUUUUAAUGAGCUAGAAGGUAUGUGCUGUAUCUGGUCGCCCAUAAGCAUUAGUCACCAAUUACUUGUGUUACCAAUGCAAGAUGGUGUUCCUAAGGAGGUGACAGUGAGGAAAUAGAGGGAAUAAUUACCUGGCAUGUGUUUAGAGUGAGCGAUUAGAUAGGACAAAAAUCCGUGAGUAAAAGCACACUAAGAAUGAAGGAAUUAAUGCUGAGCUAAAGAUGUCUGCAAAAAUGUUUUUAAAAAAGGAAAAGGAAGGAAGAUGUUAGAACUUUGCCCAUGGAAGUAGGUGGCACUUCUGAGAUGCAGUAGCUCCAGUUUAAAUGAGCUCAAAGGAGUAUGCCCAGGCAUACCCCGCUGAGGACGAGAAAAGAAGUGUUUGCGGUGGUGGGUCUUACCUAAUAAGGAAAAUGGAGGUGAUUAGAUGGAAAACUGACAUGGUUGUUUAAGAAGUUUCCUUUCUUCUCGGACUGUAUGGUAACAUGGAGAGAUAGCCAAGACUCACCGAUCCCACGAUGGCCCCCACUCUGGUUUUAUAUUAAAACCCUUGAUCCAGGCAGGAGAACCUGGAAGAGACAUGUCUCUAGUGACAGUGGAGGCUUGGACAAGAUACCACGGUGGAAGCACAGAUGAGGUUUUCAUCCUUUCUAACACUGAAGAGAAGGUCAGGAAUAAGAUAC